UACGUAGGGGGCUAGCGUUGUCCGGAAUCAUUGGGCGUAAAGAGCGCGUAGGCGGCCAGAUAAGUCCGGUGUGAAAGUCAAAGGCUCAACCUUUGAAUGCCGCUGGAAACUGUCUGGCUAGAGUCCGGAAGGGGCGAGUGGAAUUCCUGGUGUAGCGGUGAAAUGCGCAGAUAUCAGGAAGAACACCAAUGGCGAAGGGCAGCUCUCUGGGACGGUACUGACACUGAGACGCGAAAGCGUGGGUAGCGAACAGG
rnacentral:rRNA from 1 species